UUACCAAUACCUUAAAAUAUACAAUUCCUGACAUGAGUAGCCGAAUAAAUAUACCAAAUACCAUAAUUUAUUUUACUUGGUGAAACCAAACUAGUUCAGAUCUGAAACCCCUUCUCGAAAAUGGUAAUAACUCAAUCUAAUAUACAAUAUUUUUUACAGUUAAGGUCAAAUAUCUAGGAUUGGUAAGACUACAUAGAAAGGAAUAUUUGAUGACAGAAUAUAAAAUUAAAUAACAAAUAUUUCAUCAUCUCUACUAUUGUUUUUUGCUUAUUCUACAUGUUUAUUCUGGCCAUGUAGAUUAUAUCCCAUAAAAUGUAAGAUUACUAAUGUUUGUAAUUUCACCAAAAAAUUCUAAAAAAGCUUGCUCAGUAGACAAAAAUGGUAGAAAACGGGAAGCCAUGGGAUUUCUGAAGUAUUAACAACAAUCAUAGACCUAAUAUCCAUAUUAUUAUAUUAGGUCUAUGACAACGAUGUAGAAUAUUCAGCAGUAUUAUUCAAGUAAUCAACGAAGAGUGCCUUAAACAUUGAAAGUUAUACUUUUAUUGUUAUAGAUGUUUUUACAUUGGUUACAAAUUUUUCAUGGCUCCUGUUAUUGAAAUGACUGUGUUAAACAUAAAUUAUUUAUGACUUGUA